UUCUUUUUUUCUUUCUUAUUUUUUUUCUUUUUUCUUUUUCUUUUUUUUUGUUUUUUUUUUUUUUUUUUUUUUUUUUUUUUUAAUAUAAACGGGAGUUAAUUUGACUUUAGUCGUAACUGUAUUAUAGAGAGCAGGGAAAGCGUAAAGGAUUCAAGGUUCUCAAAAAUAUUUCUCUGUAUACGUGAACCGAAGAGGCUAUAUAUAUCAUAUAUGUAUGUAUAAGCCAAUUUGAAACGUGACGUAAACUAGAUUCGUAGCACAAAUGCAACCAUUUUAUUUUCAAUAAGGUAUUUUCUUUUUUUCUUCUAUAAAAUAAAUUUUUUCUUCGUAAAGAAUUUCAUUCUUUUUUAAAUAUAUAACAAAUCAUAUUACCAAUUAUCAUCACAAUAGAAAUUACAAACAAAUGUGACUCAUAUGAACAAGCACAUUAAUCAGUGCCCUUUGUUUGUAAUUAUAAAACAGAUUUCAUGAAAGCCAAUUUGUUUGAUUUUCAAAAGUUGUAUUAAAAUUAAUAAUGAAUUCAAAACAGUAGUCGUUUUUUCUUUUCUUUUUUCUUUUUUUUUCUUUUUUUUCAUUUUCUAUGUAUAUAUAUAAAUUUCUGCAUAUAGUGCAGUUGUAUAUAAAUCUCUGCGUCUCUUAAGAAACAAGACCAUGUAGUGUGUAUUUUAGGAUAUUACUCUAGGUAGGUAUAGGUAGAUGUUGCCUAUGUACAAUCGCAUUGACGUUGCGUAUGCUACUUCUUGGCAAUCCUAAGUAAAGCUUAUAGUUUGAAUAAACUUCUUUAGGUAAUUAGGUCUUUAAUAAGUAGGUAAUAAUCCUAUUAGAAAUAACAGUACAAAAACUGACUGUACGAAUAAUUAUUCUGCAGUCAUGUACAUGUUAUAUUCUCUAAUAUAGGGUAUUCUCAUACGAUUUUUCCUUGUUUUGGUUCUGAGAAAUAAUUAAGAUAAUCAUUCUUUUACUAUUAUAAUUGGCCAGUAAGUAUCUGCCAUUUUACUUAUAUUAUUAUUCUAUUUACCAUAUAUACAAAUAUUAUACAAUAGUCGCACUUAAUUAAGUAAUAUUAAAAUCUAAUUUCAAUAAUGUUGUAGUAGUUAUACGAAUAGAAACUUUACCGCAUCUAAUUCUUCCUUGUGUGAUAAUAUAUAUCAUAAAUACACUUUUAUAUAAAAUUUGUAUAAUCUACAUGAAUCACUUUAAGUAUAUUUUCUCUUUUUUUUUCAAUCACAAAAGAUACAAAUGUAAUAACCACUACAUAAGCGGGGAAAUUGUGGGCGGUAUCACUCUGGCAGUAUCUUAUUCAGGCAGAUACAACUGAUGUCACUUUGAAGGAAAACAAAACAAAUUAAUUAGCUCAAUAUUUGUGCGAACGAUUAUAUAGAGCUUAUUUUCGUAUAUUGAUCAUUGCUUUUUAUAUAUCAAUAAUAAUAUUUCAGCCCCUUUUUACAUAGAUGUGUUAUAUAUGAUAUAUAUUUAUUUCAUCAAUGUUAUUUGAUUCAGUACCGCUUAAAAAAAAUUUGAUUACACAUCAUUGUUUCAGGAUGUAUUUUUCUAGUUAUUUACAUUAGUUUCCUAAUUGACCUUUUUACAUAUUUGACAUUUUGUAUUAUUUAUUAUGUAUUAAUAAUUAAUUAUUUAGUAUGCAAUAUGUAUUAUCACAAUAUCAAGAAAACUUCAAAAUAAAUUUAAACUCUUCUUGAAUGCAGACAUUCAUUACAGAAAUGUGAAAAUAAACUCUAUAUAUGCAAAUUGUUUCUAAAUUUUGAUGUAUCUUCAGAGAUAUAUUUUAUUAAUACUUGCAAUACGCUUAGAUUAAUACUAGGAUUCAAAGAUAUUUUAUUUUAAGUAUAUCACUCUUUUCACAUUUUUGUCAUUUAAAGUUGUUCAUUUUUUUUACUUUUUUUUACUUUUUUUUUUUUUUUUUUUUUUUUUUCAAUGAAUUUUAAGGUCCUAAUAUUGAGUCAAGUUUUAUACGUACAAGUUUAUAAUAGAUUUAUUAACUUUUAUGAUUCAUACUAAUUUCUUUAAUGAUUAUCUGAUUCAUGUUCAUCAAGUCAAAUAAAAAAAAAUAUUUUAUAACAAAAUACAUACUAAUAAGCUAAUAAUAAAAAAAAAAUAAUAAUAAUAAAAAUAAUAAUAACGAAAUUAAAAUUUAUGUUAGAAUCUAGUUGUUUCUCUUGUAUUUCUACAGAAGACAUAGUCUUUUUACUUUUUUAACUGUUUACUUUUAGAUAUUGAAUAAAAAAUUUUAAUCUAUUAAGUAAUAUUCAGAGUAAACAAAAGAAAAAUCAUUUUUAUAAUAUGUCUUGACUCACAUAAUCAUUAAUGUGAUUUAAAUUUUUUUCUCAGGAGAUACAUCGUGAAGAAUAAUUGUCUAUGUCUCCAGUGUGAAGCCCAAUAUCCCCUUCAAUUAUUCAUUCCCAUCUGUUGCUACUAUUUAUCUAAUGGAGAGGAACACUAUAUGCGCUAUAUCCAUUAAUAAGCAGGGUAGUUCACAACAGAUGAACGUAUUAUCUAAUUGGAUUAAAACUUAUUUACAAGAGGUACUGUACAUUUACAUUAUAAUUCUGUUGUGAUGUAGGUCCAUCAUAGCCUUGAACGCGAGUAGACCGAUCUUUUAUGUAAAGACGAUAAUGCAGGGAAACUUCAAAAUGUUAAAAAACAUUUGAAGUGGCACGAUGUGUUCCAAUGAGCAAACAUUUAAAUUUAUAUCGAAGCAAGAUCAGUAGUCCAAAAAAAAAAAAAAAAAAAAAAACAAAAACAAAAGAAAACAAAGAAAAAAAACAAAAACAAAAAUAAAAAAAAAAAGAACUUGAAUAUUUCACAAAAUUAUCAAUAGUUAUUGAUAAACAUUUACAUCUUGUAAUAAAAUCUCGUUCUAUUAUUUGUCUAUAAAGUCCUUAUUGCAUUCCUGGAAUUAUUAUAUUGUACCAUUUAAUUUCAAUCGAUUCGUAUAAUUUCAUCGAUAAAUACAAUGGAACAUUUGCUCACCAGAACUAGCAUAUCAGUUCAAGUAUGCUGUACCCAUCCAUGCAAUAAAAUCUUUACAGACAAGCACUAA